GCUGAAUAUUAUGAUGAUGUCUCCACCCGUAGCCUGAAAAGUGAGGUGGGAACUAGAGACACUCCAGAGAACUAUGAUGAUGUCAUUUCUGCUGGACAGACAACGGCUAGAGAAGCAAAGAACAAGGUGGAGAUUUAUG